GACGAACGCUGGCGGCGUGCCUAACACAUGCAAGUCGAACGGGGGUAGCAAUACCCAGUGGCGGACGGGUGCGUAACACGUGAGGAACAUGUCUUUCGGCGGGGAAUAGCCGGCCUAACGGCCGGGUAAUACCGCGUACGACGAUUGGGGCGCAUGCCUUGAUCGUGAAAGCAGCAAUGCACCGAUAGAGUGCCUCGCGGCCUAUCAGCUAGUUGGUGAGGUAAUGGCUCACCAAGGCGACGACGGGUAGCUGGUCUGAGAGGAUGAUCAGCCACAUUGGGACUGAGACACGGCCCAGACUCCUACGGGAGGCAGCAGUGGGGAAUAUUGCGCAAUGGGCGAAAGCCUGACGCAGCGACGCCGCGUGUGGGAUGAAGGUCUUCGGAUUGUAAACCACUGUCGGGAGGGACGAAUGCGCCGCAGGCGAGUGACGGUACCUCCAAAGGAAGCACCGGCUAACUCUGUGCCAGCAG
rnacentral:rRNA from 1 species